AGCAGGUGAAUCGGUGAUGAGGAAAUUCUGAACAAAAGGUCCUGGCAGUUUUAUGGACUCUAGGGCAUUCCUUGCACUGUUAAGAAGGUUGACACACAACACCGUACAUGAUGUAAUCAAAUUCUCCCUUCAAAGACAAGUUGCUUUCCACCCAGGUCAUCACUCUGAUAACGGAGUACAGAUGCAGCGUGAGUGAUACAAACCACACCGAACUGGAGAAAAACGAAGAACUGGGAGGCAGCAAGACUUCUGGC